rnacentral:lncRNA from 1 species
UUUUCUCAAAGGAAGUGUUCUCACUGACCCAGUUUUAAUCACAUACAUAACUAAAUCUGUACUUGAACGCACGUAAAUAUUUGGUUUAGGGAAAAGUUAUCUUCCUGGUCAGAAAUACUCUAAACAGUUGUGCUGUCCUGCAUGUCUCUUCAGGGAACAACGCUUCAAUAACUAAGACAGCUUGCUCAGUCACCAAAUUGACAUGUGACAUAAGUUUUUAUCACUUAUAUAAUUAUAGUAAUACAAGAACUUAUUUAAAAUUACACAAACAUUACUAUAGAAAAUCAAAAGGUUGUAUUAUUAAAGUAACAUCUUCACAAUUUCCAUUAUACAUAUAUUUUUAUCUCUCCUUGUCUUUAUCUUCAAAAAGAGAUAUUUACAUAGUUUGUAAGUAGCAUGUGUGAAAUUUUAGGGCCUUCAUUUCUUCACUAUAUCACAUUUUAAUAUGUCAUGACAAUCUUCUAAAUUUCAACUGAUUUGAAUGAAAAAUAUUUUUUAAUAUAAGAAACAUUAUGACAUUUAUGUUACGUUAUUUUCCCCCUCACUAUAUUCUUUAGCUCCAUUCUUAGAAGUCAGAUCAUGCAAUGAGAGGUUGAACAUUUUAAUAACCCGUACAAUAUCUUACCCAUCCUUCCAAAGAUAUGGUAUUUUUUUUUCCUACAACCAACAGAACAUUGGUAUGAGAAUUCCUUUUGUGCAGUGUGAGAAGGAACGUUAAUGAGGGUUCCCAAGGGACUACAGUCUUGAGGAAAACACUGAACCAAGCUUUCGGAAGUGCUGCUUCACCUCAACUGUAUGAGUCAUGCAAGCAUCGGCAGAGCACUGCUUUGGUUCCCCAGAAACUAACAGAAACAGAAGAUUCAGAACGAGAAAUAGGAAGAAAAAUAGAGGAGAAGAGAAACGUUCUCCUUUCCCAAUUAAAAAUUGGCUGAUGUGUAGUGGCACCAGGAAAACUCCUGGAAUUGCCCAGAUAGAAGAGGAAAGGGCAAUGGUGAGGCUUGAAGGCUAUCAGCAGUCAAACAUCAAAACUGGAAUCAGAAUCUUUAUCACAAGUGAUGAAAGAUAUUAAGAAGACUUCUGAAAUGGAAGAAGCUAUAGAAAUGUAUAAACAAAUAAAAUAAAUUAGCUUUGAGUUCA